GUAGGUGAUAAAAUCAACGGUUAAAACAACAAUUAUUCAUUAGUUUAAAGUAAACAGAACGUUAGUCUAAGAGAGAAUACUAUGCUGCUAUAAAAAAGGUCAAGAAAUGCUUAACCAUCUAGCGGUGGACUUCCGGUACUAACAGCACAAAUCCUGUUCCUCUUCCUUUAGUUGUGUUGUUCGUUACAAAAUGGUGUUGGCGGUAUUAUUUUCAAAGU